GGGAGAGGCAAUAAGUAUUAUUCAUAUGUAGUCACUCUCCCAUUCCCAUAUGAAGAUCACAACGCGAGUGUCAAAGUUCCUCUUCUCUACAUCAGCAAGCACCACCGCGACACACUUCUACAACCAUCUCAGGGAAAUUCAAUGUCAAGGAUUGUAAAGAAGUGGCCUAACAGUCCUAUCUUUGGAUCUUGCACCUCGCAGUUUAGCAAUCUCCGGAUGAUCGGGUUCCAUAUAGAAUCGAGCUCUGUACGCUGCCAAAUGAGCAUAGUAUGCUGGAGGCACUGCAUACGAAACGUACAUUUAUUUUCGGUAACAGGAACUUAUUUGCUCUUAAACCAGCUAAUAGAAAAUCCAUUGAUGCAUACUAUAUAUGAAUCAGUAAAGUUAGUUAAACAAAAGUUUCAAUGUUUAUUUA